GACGAACGCUGGCGGCGUGCUUAACACAUGCAAGUCGAGCGAGAGAAAUUCCUUCGGGAAGGACUCUAGCGGCGGACGGGUGAGUAACACGUGGGUAACCUGCCUCAUAGAGGGGAAUAGCCUUCCGAAAGGAAGAUUAAUACCGCAUAAGAUUGUAAUACCGCAUGGUAUAGCAAUUAAAGGAGUAAUCCGCUAUGAGAUGGACCCGCGUCGCAAUAGCUAGUUGGUGAGGUAACGGCUCACCAAGGCAACGAUGCGUAGCCGACCUGAGAGGGUGAUCGGCCACAAUGGGACUGAGACACGGCCCAGACUCCUACGGGAGGCAGCAGUGGGGAAUAUGGCACAAUGGGGGAAACCCUGAUGCAGCAACGCCGCGUGAGUGAUGACGGUCUUCGGAUUGUAAAGCUCUGUCUUCAGGGACGAUAAUGACGGUACCUGAGGAGGAAGCCACGGCUAACUACGUGCCAGCCGCCGCGGUAACAC
rnacentral:rRNA from 1 species